GCGGCCGGCUCCUCCCGGGCCAGGUGCUCUCAGGGCGACCGAGGCCCCUCCUCCGGGGGCGUCCCCUUGCCGGGUGUACCGCGCCCUCAGGGGCUCCGCUGCGGGGGACCCCUGCGAGUCGCCCCUCUAACUCGCCCUGACACGCGGGUGCAAGCAAGCCCACCUGCCGCCCGUACCGACACUAUCCCAACGUGUACGGGGUUGGGAAGUUCUCUCGCCCGACUCCCCAUCCAAGCCAGCAGGGACUGACGCCCACCUGCACCCCAGCACUUGCCCCUCUACCUUCCCCAGCCCCUCCCCUAGGAGGCUCCCCCUAAGGCAGAGGCCAGGUAAGGACGGCCGGCCCGGUAAGCAAAGCCCCUCUCCCUCCGCUCCUCUUCAGAGGGCACCUCAUUCCCCCGAUUCCCGACCCCCAAAAGGUUGCAUAUUUCCUUUCCGCGGACGAACUCCUCUCCUCGGGGGUUCUGGAGGAUACCGGGGCUAAUCCUUCCCCUCGGGUCCGGUCCCAGUACGACCCAUCCCCGCCUCCCGGCGCCACGCCAAGCAGGGCCCCGAGGGGAACCCAGAUGUCCCCCAACAUUCCUCUUGAGACCUCGCCCGACCCUCCAAGCUAUCCGGACCAGAGACAGACAGAUCUGGAUGCCUGGCCCAGAGAGGGACGGGCCCAUGCCGCGGCCACACAGCAGCUGGGACGCCACUUUACUCCACUUCCAUCCUCACCUGGACGCUGCAGUGUCCCUAUGCUAGUUACCCCGCUGUGGACCCUCUAAGUGCUCCUUCCUCCCUUUUCCCACCCAGCUCGGCCUUUGUCAGCCAUCUUGAGGGGAAAGGAAAGAGGCAAUCAAGUAAGGGCUGCCUGGGUUCCCAGGGCCCGCCAGCAUCCCCCAGCUGCAGCAGAGGUCCCUUGGUUAGCAAAUCUCUGCUGCCUCUACCAUUCGGUGGGCAAUGAACUAUAGAAGCGCAAAUUGGCACCUAAUAUUUAUCGUAACUGGUCUUUUUGUUUGUUUGCUUGUUUGUCAGUUAAUCUGUCUCCACACAUCCGACAGUAUAGGGUCACAGCAGAUGCUCAAUAAAUAUGUCAUAAAUGAAUGAAUAGGGCCGGGGAUUUAGCUCAGUGGCACCGGGCCUGCCUCGAAAGUCCAAGGUCCUGAGCUUGAGAUCCCCAGUACCAAAAAGAAAAAAACACAAUAAAGGAAUGAAUGGGAAAAUGAAUGAUUGAAGGCACUUACAGACCCUAUAGGAGCUGACGUGGCCUACCUUUUUGGGCAUUUUCUACACUCAUUUCUGACUUCACUCCAACGUUCUCUAUUUGCUGUUCCUCAAAGACAAGCAUUUCCCCCUACACGUGGGCCUUUGGCCUCUCUCUAAGACCUGGACAUUCUUUGCCCCGAUCUUGGCAUAGCCACUUUCUCAGUACUCAGAACCCACCCCCUAUCCCCCAAAAAGGAACUCUCCCAAAAUGUCACCUUCAGGAGAGGCUUUUUCCUGACUACUCCACUGAACACUGCCCUUCGACCACUUUCAGUUCUGUUUCAUUGGUUCAGGUAGCACUUAGAGCUAUCUGAAAUUGUUUUUGCAUAUUUCUUAUUUACAUCGCCCUUCAUGCACACUCACACUGUAAAGUUCCCUCCAGGAAACAGAAACCACAUCUGUCUAUCUUGGUCCAAGCUGUGUCUCCAGCAUGGGGGUGGGGGUGGGGAAGCAAAAGGAGCUCAAUAUAAAUUUAUUGAAUGAAUGAACACAGGUUUCCCACCUCUGGGGCUCCAGCUCUGAGUUAAAAUUAUAGCUUUCUCUCUGUAUCUCUUACUGAUGAGUGAGUAAA
rnacentral:lncRNA from 1 species